AGUUCUCAACUUGCUCCUUGGCUGUUCUCCUGACACUUAAGUCAGAGCAUUCUGUAGCUGUAUUUUACAGAACUGUAAUUGCACAGAUUGUUCCUCUUACAAGAGAAAUAUCCAGAGCUCUAAGAAAACAACUGAUGAAAACGACAUGCGUGACAUUUGGUGCUGAAGACCCAGGUCAGAGAGACUCCUUUGGGGGACCAGUCCGCUGUCCUUGCCCUCACUCUGUGAGGAGACCCACCUACGACCUCGGGUCCUCAGACCAACCAGCUCAAGGAACAUCUCACCAAUUUCAAAUCGGGACCCCACUGGAAAAUGGACUGUCCAACUCACCCGGCAGCCACUCCCAGAGCCCCUGGAACUCUGGCCCAAGGCUCUCUGACUGACUCCUUCCCAGAUCUUCUCGGCUCAGCAGCUGAAGACUGACACUGCUUGAUUGCCUGGGAAGCCUAUAGGACCAUCACAGACACUUUGGAUAACUCUUACAGUGAAGGAAGACGGGAAUGUCAGGCCUCUGAGCCCAAGCCUGCACAUAUACAUCCAGAUGGCCUGAAGCA
rnacentral:lncRNA from 10 species